rnacentral:rRNA from 1 species
GAUCCUGGCUCGGGAUGAACGCUAGCUACAGGCUUAACACAUGCAAGUCGAGGGGCAUCAGGAAGAAAGCUUGCUUUCUUUGCUGGCGACCGGCGCACGGGUGAGUAACACGUAUCCAACCUGCCCUUUACUCGGGGAUAGCCUUUCGAAAGAAAGAUUAAUACCCGAUAGUAUAAUGAUUCCGCAUGGUUUCAUUAUUAAAGGAUUCCGGUAAAGGAUGGGGAUGCGUUCCAUUAGGUUGUUGGUGAGGUAACGGCU